AUGUUUUGUAAAUUUAUAGUGUUAUCUUUCUUCUAUCAUUUUGUAACCUGUAUCGACUUUCAAGUUUCAUCAUUAAUUUGUUCUAGUAUGUUUAUGGCUUUUGUCUAUAGGUAUUGAUCAUGCGUACAUGCAUGUGGCUCGUCACCCUAUUUUGUGAUGAAACAUUUAUUUGGUUCGAAAUAAUCUUAUAUAGCUCGCAGCUUACAUAUAACUAGUAUUACUCCCGUGCGAUGCACGGUGAUACCUACUUAAUUAAAAUAGUAAAAAAAAAUAUUUUUUAAAAUAUUAUGUUUAGAUUAUAAAAUUCUAUUGUAUUAUUUUAUAAAAUAGC
rnacentral:lncRNA from 1 species